rnacentral:rRNA from 1 species
AUUAAACGCUGGCGGCAUGCCUUACACAUGCAAGUCGAACGGCAGCACGGGGGCAACCCUGGUGGCGAGUGGCGAACGGGUGAGUAAAGCAUCGGAACGUGCCCUGGAGUGGGGGAUAACGUAGCGAAAGUUACGCUAAUACCGCAUAUUCUGUGAGCAGGAAAGCAGGGGAUCGCAAGACCUUGCGCUCUGGGAGCGGCCGAUGUCGGAUUAGCUAGUUGGUGGGGUAAAGGCCUACCAAGGCGACGAUCCGUAGCGGGUCUGAGAGGAUGAUCCGCCACACUGGGACUGAGACACGGCCCAGACUCCUACGGGAGGCAGCAGUAGGGAAUCUUGCGCAAUGGAGGAAACUCUGACGCAGCGAUACCGCGUGAGUGAGGAAGGUCUUCGGAUUGUAAAGCUCUGUCGUGAGGGAAAAAUGGUUACACAGGUAAUAUUUGUGUAAAUUGAUGGUACCUCAGAAGGAAGCACCGGCUAACUUCGUGCCAGCAGCCGCGGUAAU